rnacentral:rRNA from 1 species
UCGGCAACGGAUAUCUCGGCUCUCGCAUCGAUGAAGAACGUAGCGAAAUGCGAUACUUGGUGUGAAUUGCAGAAUCCCGUGAACCAUCGAGUUUUUGAACGCAAUUGCGCCCGAAGCCAUUAGGCCGAGGGCACGCCUGCMUGGGCGUCACGCGC